rnacentral:rRNA from 1 species
UACGAAGGGGGCUAGCGUUGCUCGGAAUUACUGGGCGUAAAGAGCUCGUAGGUGGUUUGUCGCGUUGUCCGUGAAAACUCACAACUCAAUUGUGGGCGUGCGGGCGAUACGGGCAGACUGGAGUACUGCAGGGGAGACUGGAAUCCUGGUGUAGCGGUGAAAUGCGCAGAUAUCAGGAAGAACACCGGUGGCGAAGGCGGGUCUCUG